CAGUAGCCGCGGUAAUACAGAGGGUGCGAGCGUUAAUCGGAUUUACUGGGCGUAAAGCGUGCGUAGGCGGCUUCUUAAGUCGGAUGUGAAAUCCCUGAGCUUAACUUAGGAAUUGCAUUCGAUACUUGGAAGCUAGAGUAUGGGAGAGGAUGGUAGAAUUCCAGGUGUAGCGGUGAAAUGCGUAGAGAUCUGGAGGAAUACCGAUGGCGAAGGCAGCCAUCUGGCCUAAUACUGACGCUGAGGUACGAAAGCAUGGGGAGCAAACAGGAUUAGAUACCCGCGUAGUCCCUGUCUCUUAUAC
rnacentral:rRNA from 1 species